UACGUAGGGGGCAAGCGUUGUCCGGAAUCAUUGGGCGUAAAGCGCGUGUAGGCGGCUUGGUAAGUCCGCUCUGAAAGCCCGGGGCUCAACCCCGGGAGGCGGGUGGAUACUGCUGAGCUCGAGUCCGGAAGAGGCGAGUGGAAUUCCUGGUGUAGCGGUGAAAUGCGCAGAUAUCAGGAGGAACACCGAUGGCGAAGGCAGCUCGCUGGGACGGUACUGACGCUGAGACGCGAAAGCGUGGGUAGCAAACAGG
rnacentral:rRNA from 1 species